GACGAACGCUGGCGGCGUGCUUAACACAUGCAAGUCGAACGAGACGAUUGAAAGCUUGCUUUUGAAAGUCGAGUGGCAAACGGGUGAGUAACGCGUAGACAACCUGCCUUUGAGAUGGGGACAACAGUUCGAAAGGACUGCUAAUACCGAAUGUUGUAUAUUUUCCACAUGGAAGAUAUAUUAAAGAUGGCCUCUAUUUAUAAGCUAUCGCUCAAAGAUGGGUCUGCGUCUGAUUAGCUGGUUAGUGGGGUAACGGCCUACCAAGGCGACGAUCAGUGGCCGGUCUGAGGGGAUGAACGGCCACAUUGGGACUGAGACACGGCCCAGACUCCUACGGGAGGCAGCAGUGGGGAAUCUUCCACAAUGGACGAAAGUCUGAUGGAGCAACGCCGCGUGAGUGAAGAAGGGUUUCGGCUCGUAAAGCUCUGUUGUCGGGGACGAAUGUGCAGUAUUUGAAUAAAGUACUGCAAUGACGGUACCUGACGAGGAAGCCACGGCUAACUACGUGCCAGCAGCCGCCGUAA
rnacentral:rRNA from 1 species